rnacentral:lncRNA from 14 species
CUCCCAGCAGUCUCCCUUGUGCCCUGGUCAGUGGGAGUUCCCAUAGCAGUCGCGGCAGGAGCAUUCUGUGUCAGGACUGGAUCUCCAGGGUGGUGAUGAGGGCUGAAAGGGGAGGACGGCCCUGGCUGAAGAGUUUCCACAUGUUUGCCCUGUUGCCUCUCUGCUGGAAAAGUGAAAACUCAUGCUGAUGAGUGCAGGAUCCAGAAUUGUUGAAUUUACACCUCAGAGCUCAUCUACAGCUCCACCCUGACCUUCAUUAAUAGCACCAGAUCAGAUCAAAUAGCCAAAGUCAAUCUGCUGGGCUGUUCUAAACAACAAGGAGAGAAGGUAAUGUCCUUGAUGCUGCUACCAGUGAACCCAAGGGCAGAAUUAGGUACAACUUUGGAUGCUGUGAUGUUGAAGCCAGCUUCCUAAUUCCCAAGCAUGGCUAGCCCUAGAGGAUACUCUCAAGAAGCAGCAUAGAAGAAAAGUUCUAUCCUUGUAUGAAAGACCAGCUUUGAGGGCCAUUUCUUUCCUGUUAAGAGGGCAGGAAGACCAGGCCAUCUGUCACAAGAGCAGCAUCUAUAAGAAAAACUGCAUUAACUGCACUUUAACUCAUCUUCCUUGAUAAUUUCCUCACUUGUGGCUCCGACUGCUUCAUGUUUUAUUUCUGACAAACAAAAGAGACUUAUUAAAGCAGUGGUUUGCUUCAUUCAUUUUUGAAAUAAAAACUCAGUAAGUGAUGGGUUGUCA